CCUACGGGGGGCAGCAGUGGGGAAUAUUGGACAAUGGGGGCAACCCUGAUCCAGCCAUGCCGCGUGUGUGAAGAAGGCCCUCGGGUUGUAAAGCACUUUCAGUGAGGAAGAACGCCUGGUGGUUAAUACCCAUCAGGAAAGACAUCACUCACAGAAGAAGCACCGGCUAACUCCGUGCCAACAGCCGCGGUAAUACGGAGGGUGCGAGCGUUAAUCGGAAUUACUGGGCGUAAAGCGCGCGUAGGUGGCUUGAUAAGCCGGUUGUGAAAGCCCCGGGCUCAACCUGGGAACGGCAUCCGGAACUGUCAAGCUAGAGUGCAGGAGAGGAAGGUAGAAUUCCCGGUGUAGCGGUGAAAUGCGUAGAGAUCGGGAGGAAUACCAGUGGCGAAGGCGGCCUUCUGGACUGACACUGACACUGAGGUGCGAAAGCGUGGGUAGCAAACAGGAUUAGAUACCCGAGUAGUC
rnacentral:rRNA from 1 species